GAAAUGAAUCUCAGUUCUCUCUUGACCCCUCUCCCCGACAAUCUAGCUUAAUCCUCAUGUAGAGGGUUAAGAGUAAUUUAAAGGAGGUACAGCUCCUUUAAAAAAGGAUACAACCUCUAUUAGUGGAUAACCACCUAGACUCCUUCUAUAAACUGUAGGCCCUCAAGCAGCCACCAAUAAAGAGUGCGUCAAAGCUCCACCUAAAAAAAUCCAAUAACAAUACGACUCCCUUACCCGCUAACAGGCUAACCUACAUCGGUAGAAGCAUCAAUGCUAAAAUGAGUAACCAGGGACCAUCCUCUCAAGCGCAGACUUACACUAUUCCGUUAUUAACAGACAGAAGCCAAUACCUCAAUUACAACAAGACUAAAAUAUUAGCCCACUCUGUUACCCCAACUAAGGAGCGCCUACUAGAAAGAUUAAAAUCUGUAAAAGGAACUAGGCAAACCCAAGGCCCGACUGUUUACCAAAAACAUAGCCUUCAGCCCACCAAGUAUUGAAGGUGAUGCCUGCCCAGUGACAUAAUGUUUAACGGCCGCGGUAUCCUAACCGUGCGAAGGUAGCGCAAUCAAUUGUCUCAUAAAUCGAGACUUGUAUGAAUGGCUAAACGAGGUCUUAACUGUCUCUUACAGAUAAUCAGUGAAAUUGAUCUUCCCGUGCAAAAGCGGGAAUUCCAACAUAAGACGAGAAGACCCUGUGGAACUUAAAAAUCAGCGGCCACUAUAUACAAAUUUAAACCUAAUAGGCCUACUACCCUUAAACACUGGUUCGCAUUUUUCGGUUGGGGCGACCUUGGAGAAAAACAAAUCCUCCAAAAAUAAGACCACACUUCUUAACCAAGAGCAACCCCUCAACGUACUAACAGUAACCAGACCCAAUACAAUUGAUCAAUGAACCAAGCUACCCCAGGGAUAACAGCGCAAUCUCCUCUAAGAGCCCUCAUCGACGAGGAGGUUUACGACCUCGAUGUUGGAUCAGGACAUCCUAAUGGUGCAGCCGCUA
rnacentral:rRNA from 1 species